rnacentral:rRNA from 1 species
AACGCGAAGAACCUUACCUGGGCUCGAACGGCUGGUCAACGCCGGUGGAAACAUCGGUACCCCGCAAGGGGGUCCAGUCGAGGUGCUGCAUGGCUGUCGUCAGCUCGUGUCGUGAGAUGUUGGGUUAAGUCCCGCAACGAGCGCAACCCUUGUCCUGUGUUGCCAUCAUUCAGUUGGGAACUCGCAGGAGACCGCCAGGGAUAACCUGGAGGAAGGUGGGGAUGACGUCAAGUCCUCAUGGCCUUUAUGUCCAGGGCUACACACGUGCUACAAUGGACGGUACAAAGCGCAGCAAACCCGCGAGGGGGAGCCAAUCGCAAAAAACCGUUCUCAGUUCGGAUUGCAGGCUGCAACUCGCCUGCAUGAAGCUGGAAUCGCUAGUAAUGGCAGAUCAGCACGCUGCCGUGAAUACGUUCCCGGGCCUUGUA